AUUGAACGCUGGCGGCAGGCCUUACACAUGCAAGUCGAACGGUAACAGGUCUUCGGAUGCUGACGAGUGGCGAACGGGUGAGUAAUACAUCGGAACGUGCCCGAUCGUGGGGGAUAACGGAGCGAAAGCUUUGCUAAUACCGCAUACGAUCUACGGAUGAAAGCAGGGGACCGCAAGGCCUUGCGCGGACGGAGCGGCCGAUGGCAGAUUAGGGAGUUGGUGGGAUAAAAGCUUACCAAGCCGACGAUCUGUAGCUGGUCUGAGAGGACGACCAGCCACACGGGGACAGAGACACGGCCCAGACUCGUACGGGAGGCAGCAGUGGGGAAUUUUGGACAAUGGGGGAAAGCCUGAUCCAGCCAUGCCGCGUGCAGGAUGAAGGCCUUCGGGUUGUAAACUGCUUUUGUACGGAACGAAAAGCCUCUUUCUAAUAAAGAGAGGUCAUGACGGUACCGUAAGAAUAAGCACCGGCUAACUACGUGCCAGCCGCCGCCGUAACAC
rnacentral:rRNA from 1 species